UGGGGAAUAUUGCGCAAUGGGCGCAAGCCUGAUCCAGCCAUGCCGCGUGAGUGAAGAAGGCCUUCGGGUUGUAAAGCUCUUUCGGACGGGACGAGAUGGUUACGGUGAAUAACUGUGACUGAUGACGGUACCGUAAUAAGAAGCACCGGCUAACUACGUGCCAGCAGCCGCGGUAAUACGUAGGGUGCGAGCGUUAAUCGGAAUUACUGGGCGUAAAGCGUGCGCAGGCGGUUCGCCAAGUCAGGUGUGAAAUCCCCGGGCUUAACCUGGGAAUUGCGCUUGAAACUAGCGGGCUUGAGUGUGGCAGAGCGGGCUGGCAAGGCGCAU
rnacentral:rRNA from 1 species